rnacentral:rRNA from 1 species
UACGUAGGUCCCGAGCGUUAUCCGGAUUUAUUGGGCGUAAAGCGAGCGCAGGCGGUUAGAUAAGUCUGAAGUUAAAGGCUGUGGCUUAACCAUAGUACGCUUUGGAAACUGUUUAACUUGAGUGCAGAAGGGGAGAGUGGAAUUCCAUGUGUAGCGGUGAAAUGCGUAGAUAUAUGGAGGAACACCGGUGGCGAAAGCGGCUCUCUGGUCUGUAACUGACGCUGAGGCUCGAAAGCGUGGGGAGCAAACAGGAUUAGAUACC